GGGUUGUGAGGUUAAGCGACUAAGCGUACACGGUGGAUGCCCUGGCAGUCAGAGGCGAUGAAGGGCGUGCUAAUCUGCGAUAAGCGCCGGUAAGGUGAUAUGAACCGUUAUAACCGGCGAUACCCGAAUGGGGAAACCCAGUGUGAUUCGUCACACUAUCAUUAACUGAAUCCAUAGGUUAAUGAGGCGAACCGGGGGAACUGAAACAUCUAAGUACCCCGAGGAAAAGAAAUCAACCGAGAUUCCCCCAGUAGCGGCGAGCGAACGGGGAGGAGCCCAGAGCCUGAAUCAGCAUGUGUGUUAGUGGAAGCGUCUGGAAAGGCGCGCGAUACAGGGUGACAGCCCCGUACACAAAAGCGCAUGUGCUGUGAGCUCGAUGAGUAGGGCGGGACACGUGGUAUCCUGUCUGAAUAUGGGGGGACCAUCCUCCAAGGCUAAAUACUCCUGACUGACCGAUAGUGAACCAGUACCGUGAGGGAAAGGCGAAAAGAACCCCGGCGAGGGGAGUGAAAAAGAACCUGAAACCGUGUACGUACAAGCAGUGGGAGCNNNNNNNNNNNNNNNNNNNNNNNNNNNNNNNNNNNNNNNNNNNNNNNNNNNNNNNNNNNNNNNNNNNNNNNNNNNGGGCGUUAAGUUGCAGGGUAUAGACCCGAAACCCGGUGAUCUAGCCAUGGGCAGGUUGAAGGUUGGGUAACACUAACUGGAGGACCGAACCGACUAAUGUUGAAAAAUUAGCGGAUGACCUGUGGCUGGGGGUGAAAGGCCAAUCAAACCGGGAGAUAGCUGGUUCUCCCCGAAAGCUAUUUAGGUAGCGCCUCGUGAAUUCAUCUCCGGGGGUAGAGCACUGUUUCGGCUAGGGGGCCAUCCCGGCUUACCAACCCGAUGCAAACUGCGAAUACCGGAGAAUGUUAUCACGGGAGACACACGGCGGGUGCUAACGUCCGUCGUGAAGAGGGAAACAACCCAGACCGCCAGCUAAGGUCCCAAAGUCAUGGUUAAGUGGGAAACGAUGUGGGAAGGCCCAGACAGCCAGGAUGUUGGCUUAGAAGCAGCCAUCAUUUAAAGAAAGCGUAAUAGCUCACUGGUCGAGUCGGCCUGCGCGGAAGAUGUAACGGGGCUAAACCAUGCACCGAAGCUGCGGCAGCGACACUGUGUGUUGUUGGGUAGGGGAGCGUUCUGUAAGCCUGCGAAGGUGGCCUGUGAGGGUUGCUGGAGGUAUCAGAAGUGCGAAUGCUGACAUAAGUAACGAUAAAGCGGGUGAAAAGCCCGCUCGCCGGAAGACCAAGGGUUCCUGUCCAACGUUAAUCGGGGCAGGGUGAGUCGACCCCUAAGGCGAGGCCGAAAGGCGUAGUCGAUGGGAAACGGGUUAAUAUUCCCGUACUUGGUGUUACUGCGAAGGGGGGACGGAGAAGGCUAUGUUGGCCGGGCGACGGUUGUCCCGGUUUAAGCGUGUAGGUGUGUGUUCCAGGUAAAUCCGGUUCACUUUAACACUGAGGCGUGACGACGAGGCACUACGGUGCUGAAGCAACAAAUGCCCUGCUUCCAGGAAAAGCCUCUAAGCAUCAGGUAACAUCAAAUCGUACCCCAAACCGACACAGGUGGUCAGGUAGAGAAUACCAAGGCGCUUGAGAGAACUCGGGUGAAGGAACUAGGCAAAAUGGUGCCGUAACUUCGGGAGAAGGCACGCUGACACGUAGGUGAAGUGAUUUACUCAUGGAGCUGAAGUCAGUCGAAGAUACCAGCUGGCUGCAACUGUUUAUUAAAAACACAGCACUGUGCAAACACGAAAGUGGACGUAUACGGUGUGACGCCUGCCCGGUGCCGGAAGGUUAAUUGAUGGGGUCAGCGCAAGCGAAGCUCCUGAUCGAAGCCCCGGUAAACGGCGGCCGUAACUAUAACGGUCCUAAGGUAGCGAAAUUCCUUGUCGGGUAAGUUCCGACCUGCACGAAUGGCGUAAUGAUGGCCAGGCUGUCUCCACCCGAGACUCAGUGAAAUUGAACUCGCUGUGAAGAUGCAGUGUACCCGCGGCAAGACGGAAAGACCCCGUGAACCUUUACUAUAGCUUGACACUGAACAUUGAGCCUUGAUGUGUAGGAUAGGUGGGAGGCUUUGAAGUGUGGACGCCAGUCUGCAUGGAGCCGACCUUGAAAUACCACCCUUUAAUGUUUGAUGUUCUAACGUGGACCCGUUACCCGGGUUGCGGACAGUGUCUGGUGGGUAGUUUGACUGGGGCGGUCUCCUCCUAAAGAGUAACGGAGGAGCACGAAGGUUGGCUAAUCCUGGUCGGACAUCAGGAGGUUAGUGCAAUGGCAUAAGCCAGCUUGACUGCGAGCGUGACGGCGCGAGCAGGUGCGAAAGCAGGUCAUAGUGAUCCGGUGGUUCUGAAUGGAAGGGCCAUCGCUCAACGGAUAAAAGGUACUCCGGGGAUAACAGGCUGAUACCGCCCAAGAGUUCAUAUCGACGGCGGUGUUUGGCACCUCGAUGUCGGCUCAUCACAUCCUGGGGCUGAAGUAGGUCCCAAGGGUAUGGCUGUUCGCCAUUUAAAGUGGUACGCGAGCUGGGUUUAGAACGUCGUGAGACAGUUCGGUCCCUAUCUGCCGUGGGCGCUGGAGAACUGAGGGGGGCUGCUCCUAGUACGAGAGGACCGGAGUGGACGCAUCACUGGUGUUCGGGUUGUCAUGCCAAUGGCACUGCCCGGUAGCUAAAUGCGGAAGAGAUAAGUGCUGAAAGCAUCUAAGCACGAAACUUGCCCCGAGAUGAGUUCUCCCUGAGACUUAGAGUCUCCUGAAGGAACGUUGAAGACGACGACGUUGAUAGGCCGGGUGUGUAAGCGCAGCGAUGCGUUGAGCUAACCGGUACUAAUGAACCGUGAGGCUUAACCUUACAACGCCGAAG
rnacentral:rRNA from 1 species